rnacentral:rRNA from 1 species
UACAGAGGGGGCAAGCGUUGUUCGGAAUUACUGGGCGUAAAGGGCGCGUAGGCGGCCUGCUAAGUCGAACGUGAAAUCCCCGGGCUCAACCCGGGAACUGCGUCCGAUACUGGCAGGCUUGAAUCCGGGAGAGGGAUGCGGAAUUCCCGGUGUAGCAGUGAAAUGCGUAGAUAUCGGGAGGAACACCAGUGGCGAAGGCGGGUCUCUGGACAGUUCCUGACGCUGAGGCACGAAGGCCAGGGGAGCAAACGGG